rfam:Marinobacterium sp. AK27 ATG5_contig_5, whole genome shotgun sequence.
UGCGGGGUGGAGCAGUCUGGUAGCUCGUCGGGCUCAUAACCCGAAGGUCGUUGGUUCAAAUCCAGCCCCCGCUA